UACAGCAGAAUGCUAGUCAUGGCAAAGAAUAUUAUGGCUUAUCGGCAGGUGCAUUUCCCUUCUGUAUGUGUUAAAAGGCCAUAGCUUUUGCUAGGUCCCUUGCUCUUACCAUUUAGAAAUCCACUAAUGAUCUCCUGCCAUUGUUACAGGUUUGGCAAAUGCCAAGAAUCAGUUCCUGUUUCUGCACAAUGUGAUGAGGAAUUCGACGUGCUCUUGAACAGGGAGAAAUGGCACAUGGCGAAGGGAUGAUUUCGAUAGGGCACAAGUUUUCUUUUCCUUGAUUUGCAAUAUAAACAUUCCAGGCUGCAAGAACAUGCUUCUGGGCUAGCCAUAAUAAGGUGCUUCCUAUUUCAUUAAUACAUGAUCGAAGCAAGAAUUACAAUCAGCUUAAUUAGAGCUUCUAACGAAGCAAACCCAGCUGGGCGGCCAUUCAGGCUAAAUAAAAAAAGAUUCUGCCGGGGGACCUCAGCUUCAUAACUAUAAUGAGAUGAGAUUAGCUUAUAAUAUAUCACUGACAUAGGACAACAGUGACCAGACAGCAGCACUCAGAAGCUCCUCGCCAG
rnacentral:lncRNA from 1 species